rnacentral:pre_miRNA from 1 species
AUCAAGCUGCUGGGAGAUACAAUUACGAAGCUCAGGAGGGAUAGCGCCCAGCCCUGCUUUUACUGUUCAAUCAGUUAGAGUGCUUCUGAUAGUAAGAUGCAGAUGCAUGACGCUAUCCAUUCUGAGCUUUGCAACUGUGUCCCCCUAAUUUGGGCAACCGGAUCGGUUAGCUGGU